GACGAACGCUGGCGGCGUCCUUAACACAUGCAAGUCGAACGACGUGGCGAACGGGUGAGUAACCCGUACUCAACCUGCCCUUCAGAGGGGGACAACAGUUGGAAACGACUGCUACUACCGCAUACUGAAGUACGGGAUUCCGUCUGAUUAGCUAGUUGGAGGGGAAACGGCCCACCAGGGCGAGGAUCAGUAGCCGGGCUGAGAGGAUGAACGGCAAGAGGGGGACUGAGAGACGGCCCAGACUCCUAGGGGAGGAAGCAGUGGGGAGUCUUACGCAAUGGAGGAAAGUCUGACGGAGCAACGCAGCGUGAGUGAUGACGGCCUUCGGGUUGUAAAGCUCUGUUAAGCGGGACGCGGUACCGGAAUAGAAAGCCACGGCUAACUACGUGCCAGCAGCCGCGGUAAUUC
rnacentral:rRNA from 1 species